rnacentral:rRNA from 1 species
UGCAGUCGAACGGCAGCGCGAGAGAGCUUGCUCUCUUGGCGGCGAGUGGCGGACGGGUGAGUAAUAUAUCGGAACGUGCCCAGUAGCGGGGGAUAACUACUCGAAAGAGUGGCUAAUACCGCAUACGCCCUACGGGGGAAAGGGGGGGAUCGCAAGACCUCUCACUAUUGGAGCGGCCGAUAUCGGAUUAGCUAGUUGGUGGGGUAAAGGCUCACCAAGGCAACGAUCCGUAGCUGGUUUGAGAGGACGACCACCACACUGGGACUGAGACACGGCCCAGACUCCUACGGGAGGCAGCAGUGGGGAAUUUUGGACAAUGGGGGAAACCCUGAUCCAGCCAUCCCGCGUGUAUGAUGAAGGCUUCGGGUUGUAAAGUACUUUUGGCAGAGAAGAAAGGUAUCCCCUAAUACGGGAUACUGCUGACGGUAUCUGCAGAAUAAGCACCGGCUAACUACGUGCCAGCAGCCGCGGUAAUACGUAGGGUGCAAGCGUUAAUCGGAAUUACUGGGCGUAAAGCGUGUGUAGGCGGUUCGGAAAGAAAGAUGUGAAAUCCCAGGGCUCAACCGGAACUGCAUUUUUAACUGCCAGCUAGAGUAUGUCAGAGGGGGGUAGAAUUCCACGUGUAGCAGUGAAAUGCGUAGAUAUGUGGAGGAAUACCGAUGGCGAAGGCAGCCCCCUGGGAUAAUACUGCGCUCAGACACGAAAGCGUGGGAGCAAACAGGAUUAGAUACCCUGGUAGUCCACGCCCUAAACGAUGUCAACUAGCUGUUGGGGCCGUUAGGCCUUAGUAGCGCAGCUAACGCGUGAAGUUGACCGCCUGGGGAGUACGGUCGCAAGAUUAAAACUCAAAGGAAUUGACGGGGACCCGCACAAGCGGUGGAUGAUGUGGAUUAAUUCGAUGCAACGCGAAAAACCUUACCUACCCUUGACAUGUCUGGAAAGCCGAAGAGAUUUGGCCGUGCUCGCAAGAGAACCGGAACACAGGUGCGCAUGGCUGUCGUCAGCUCGUGUCCUGAGA